rnacentral:rRNA from 1 species
UAUGUAGGGCGCAAGCGUUGUCCGGAAUUAUUGGGCGUAAAGAGCUCGUAGGUGGCUUGUCGCGUCUGUCGUGAAAGCCCGGGGCUUAACUCCGGGUCUGCGGUGGAUACGGGCAGGCUAGAGGUAUGCAGGGGAGAACGGAAUUCCUGGUGUAGCGGUGAAAUGCGCAGAUAUCAGGAGGAACACCGAUGGCGAAGGCAGGUCUCUGGGCCACUACUGACGCUGAGAAGCGAAAGCAUGGGGAGCGAACAGG